rnacentral:rRNA from 1 species
CGGAGGGUGCGAGCGUUAUCCGGAAUUACUGGGUUUAAAGGGUGCGUAGGCGGCUGUGUAAGUCAGGAGUGAAAGUUUGCGGCUCAACCGUAAAAUUGCUUUUGAUACUGCACGGCUAGAAUUAGGAUGAGGUCAGCGGAAUGUGGCAUGUAGCGGUGAAAUGCAUAGAUAUGCCAUAGAACACCAAUUGCGAAGGCAGCUGGCUAGACCUGGAUUGACGCUGAGGCACGAAAGCGUGGGGAUCGAACAGGAUUAGAUACCCUGGUAGUCCACGCCCUAAACGAUGCUCACUCGACGUAUGGCCCUAGAGGUUAUGCGUCCAAGGGAAACCGUUAAGUGAGCCACCUGGGGAGUACGACCGCAAGGUUG